GUAGCGGCAGGACUAUCCUAUGCGGAGGAGCAUAUCAAUAAGCGGAGGAGCGUAUCGGCCGUCGGAUGAAAAGGACACCUCCCGGACCAGACCGGACCCCCUGUGGGGCCGGACUCGGCGCCCGCCGGAGGAUAACCAAACGCUAUUUUAACGACGUUUCUUCUGAGUGGCAUAAGCAAAAUAAUCAAAACUUUUAACAACGGAUCUCUUGGUUCUGGCAUCGAUGAAGAACGCAGCGAAAUGCGAUAAGUAAUGUGAAUUGCAGAAUUCAGUGAAUCAUCGAAUCUUUGAACGCACAUUGCGCCCGCCAGCAUUCUGGCGGGCAUGCCUGUUCGAGCGUCAUUUCAACCCUCAAGCUCUGCUUGGUGUUGGGGCUCUACGGUCGACGUAGGCCCUCAAAGGUAGUGGCGGACCCUCCCGGAGCCUCCUUUGCGUAGUAACAUUUCGUCUCGCACUGGGAUCCGGAGGGACUCUUGCCGUAAAACCCCCCAAUUUUUCAAGGUUGACCUCGGAUCAGGUAGGAAUACCCGCUGAACUUAAGCAUAUCAAUAAGCGGAGGAA
rnacentral:rRNA from 1 species